rnacentral:lncRNA from 9 species
AUCACUUCUUUGUGUGGGGUUAGGCCCCCAACUUGGCCUCACAUAACUGUUGGGGCCUCUCAGCAUCCCAGGAGCUCAUGGAUGGAGGGGUGAGGGUGUUGGGGAGGUCUUCUGCCAGCCCAGGCAGUGGUGCAAACAGUCCUGCUAAGGAAAGGGUGCCCUGAGACCAGCACUGGCCUGGGAGGGGACACGGAAGUGACCUGCAAGAUAAAGGGGUAGUCUAGAGAGAGGGCAGGACGCUGGGAGAGUUCAGUGUAUGCAUGACAUUCAAGGGAUGGAGGGGUAUAACUGAGGCUGGCACGGACAAGGGUGCACACGUGACAAGAUGACCAGUCAGGGAGAACAGCGUGGCCACCCAGCAAUGAGGCCUCUAUGUCCCAUCAACCUUCUGAGGAGCCUCUGGAAAUGCACUGCAAGCUGUCCCGGGGUGGGGGCUUACCCAUCCACCCUGUCUCCCCAGGGUUGUGGCGAGGAAGGCCCAUCACCGUGGCAACUGUGCUGCGACACCAGGGGACAAGUGCAGAUGGAUCAGCAUUUCCACAGCAGCAAAACAAACACCUUCCAGCUCCUGCCUUGGAGGCAAAUGCUUCAGAAAUGCUUGUCUCCAGGCUCACUGGCUGCUCACUCCCUCCAAGCUGGCUGUACCUGGUUACUCCACACACAGUGCUCAUCGAGGUCGUCAUUCCUGCUGCAUACGCUCCCCUGCCCCUACCUGUCCACGGCCCUCAGCGCUGUGCUGCACCUGCUUAGCUGCAUGUUGCAGGUGCCUGGCCUCCCUUGCCAAGGGAAGCCCCAAUGCGAGAUGAGGAUGGAGGGAGCUAGAGCCAUUCUCUGGUCAGGCAGCAUCUCCUGGGCAGCUGUACCCAUCCUCGUUGCUGCGUGGGCCUCUCCUGUGUUCUCCUUCUGUGUGACUCCAACCUCAGAGGAGAAAGGGCAAGGGUUUCUACAGCCAGGCAUGUGACUGACAUGGGAGCCAUAGCAGGGCUGCCACAGAGAGGUCAGGACGGGAGGAAAAGUAGCUUGGGGUGAUCCAUCUUGGGGUGGCGUUGACUUCCUUUCUGCUGCUGACCCCUGAGGGCCUCGCCACACCCUGUUUGCACUCUUGGCUCUGCUGACGUCUCUGUGACAGCAUCUCCACAGUUGGCUCCUGCCCCUGAACCCGCACGGGUGCUCGCCUAACUGGACAGGACCAGGUAGUCCGCUGCGCCCUCCAGGUCCACGCCCCUCCUCCUCCGCUGCUCUGGCUCAGACCUGGAAAGAUGGGGUGCACGGGCCCCUUGCCUCUGACUUAGAGUCCUGGAGGAGGUGGAGGAGGGUGGCAGGCAUCUAGUCCCCAGCCCCAGUGUGGCCACAGUGCCCUUACCCAGGUCACAGCCCCUUGCACAAAGGGCUCUGCACCUGCCCUUCUCUGGUCGUGCUAAGUGGUCCCCCCAGGGCCCGGCUCUGAGCCCCCACUUUCCAGGCUCAGUGCCUCAUGUCCUCAGACACUGAUGGCUGCUCCCCGAUGCCUGGCCCAGGACCAGUGGGGGCUAGGACAGUUCUCAACAAGGAUGAUUGUUCCUUUAUGAUUUUUAAUGCUAAAUGACCUUUUUAAUGAAGUUAUAAUGACAGCCAGAGGAAAUUGAUUUUUUAAAAAAUAAUUGUGACAAAAUAAAAAAUUCACCAUCGUAACCACUUUUAAGUGUCCAGUUAUGUGGCAUUGGACACUUUCACACUGCUGUGCCAGCAUCCCCACCAGCAUCUCCAGAACUUUCUCAUCUUCCCAAACCAGAACAGAGCCCCAUCACUCACUCACUCCCC